rnacentral:tRNA from 1 species
GCCGCGGUGGCGGAACUGGCAGACGCGAUGGACUCAAAAUCCAUUGAUCGCAAGAUCGUGAGAGUUCAAAUCUCUCCCGCGGCA